rnacentral:rRNA from 1 species
AAAACCUACGGGGGGCAGCAGUGGGGAAUCUUGCAUAAUGGGCGAAAGCCUGAUGCAGCGACGCCGCGUGGGCGAAGAAGGCCUUUGGGCCGUAAAGCCCUGUCGGGAGGGAAGAAGGAAGCGACGGUACCUCCCAAGGAAGCCCCGGCUAACUACGUGCCAGCAGCCGCGGUAACACGUAGGGGGCGAGCGUUAUCCGGAUUCAUUGGGCGUAAAGCGCGCGCAGGCGGGCCGCUAAGCGGG